rnacentral:rRNA from 1 species
GAUGAACGCUGGCGGCGUGCCUAAUACAUGCAAGUCGAGCGAACGGACGAGAAGCUUGCUUCUCUGAUGUUAGCGGCGGACGGGUGAGUAACACGUGGAUAACCUACCUAUAAGACUGGGAUAACUUCGGGAAACCGGAGCUAAUACCGGAUAAUAUUUUGAACCGCAUGGUUCAAAAGUGAAAGACGGUCUUGCUGUCACUUAUAGAUGGAUCCGCGCUGCAUUAGCUAGUUGGUAAGGUAACGGCUUACCAAGGCAACGAUGCAUAGCCGACCUGAGAGGGUGAUCGGCCACACUGGAACUGAGACACGGUCCAGACUCCUACGGGAGGCAGCAGUAGGGAAUCUUCCGCAAUGGGCGAAAGCCUGACGGAGCAACGCCGCGUGAGUGAUGAAGGUCUUCGGAUCGUAAAACUCUGUUAUUAGGGAAGAACAUAUGUGUAAGUAACUGUGCACAUCUUGACGGUACCUAAUCAGAAAGCCACGGCUAACUACGUGCCAGCAGCCGCGGUAAUACGUAGGUGGCAAGCGUUAUCCGGAAUUAUUGGGCGUAAAGCGCGCGUAGGCGGUUUUUUAGUCUGAUGUGAAAGCCCACGGCUCAACCGUGGAGGGUCAUUGGAAACUGGAAAACUUGAGUGCAGAAGAGGAAAGUGGAAUUCCAUGUGUAGCGGUGAAAUGCGCAGAGAUAUGGAGGAACACCAGUGGCGAAGGCGACUUUCUGGUCUGUAACUGACGCUGAUGUGCGAAAGCGUGGGGAUCAAACAGGAUUAGAUACCCUGGUAGUCCACGCCGUAAACGAUGAGUGCUAAGUGUUAGGGGGUUUCCGCCCCUUAGUGCUGCAGCUAACGCAUUAAGCACUCCGCCUGGGGAGUACGACCGCAAGGUUGAAACUCAAAGGAAUUGACGGGGACCCGCACAAGCGGUGGAGCAUGUGGUUUAAUUCGAAGCAACGCGAAGAACCUUACCAAAUCUUGACAUCCUUUGACAACUCUAGAGAUAGAGCCUUCCCCUUCGGGGGACAAAGUGACAGGUGGUGCAUGGUUGUCGUCAGCUCGUGUCGUGAGAUGUUGGGUUAAGUCCCGCAACGAGCGCAACCCUUAAGCUUAGUUGCCAUCAUUAAGUUGGGCACUCUAAGUUGACUGCCGGUGACAAACCGGAGGAAGGUGGGGAUGACGUCAAAUCAUCAUGCCCCUUAUGAUUUGGGCUACACACGUGCUACAAUGGACAAUACAAAGGGCAGCGAAACCGCGAGGUCAAGCAAAUCCCAUAAAGUUGUUCUCAGUUCGGAUUGUAGUCUGCAACUCGACUACAUGAAGCUGGAAUCGCUAGUAAUCGUAGAUCAGCAUGCUACGGUGAAUACGCUCCCGGGUCU